AUUGAACGCUGGCGGCAGGCCUAACACAUGCAAGUCGAACGAGCGGCGGACGGGUGAGUAAUGUCUGGGGAUCUGCCUGAUGGAGGGGGAUAACUACUGGAAACGGUGGCUAAUACCGCAUACCAUCGGAUGAGCCCAGAUGGGAUUAGCUAGUUGGUGGGGUAACGGCUCACCAAGGCGACGAUCCCUAGCCUGUCUGAGAGGAUGACGCGCCACACUGGUACUGAGACACGGUCCAGACUCCUACGGGAGGCAGCAGUGGGGAAUAUUGCGCAAUGGGCGAAAGCCUGAUGCAGCAACGCCGCGUGUUUGAAGAAGGCUUUCGGGUUGUAAAGCACUUUCAGCGGGGAGGCGUUACCCAAAGAAGAAGCCACGGCUAACUCCGUGCCAGCAGCCGCGGUAAUAC
rnacentral:rRNA from 1 species